rnacentral:rRNA from 1 species
GAUGAACGCUGGCGGCGUGCCUAAUACAUGCAAGUCGAACGGGUGGCGAACGGGUGAGUAACACGUUGGAAACUACCCUUCUACGGGUGAUAACCAUCGGAAACGUUGACUAAUACCGCAUACUGUGGGAUGGACCGGCGGUGCCUUAGCUAGUAGGUGGGUUAACGGCCUACCGGGGCUUCGAUGCCUAGCCGACCUGAGAGGGUGAUCAGCCACACUGGGACUGAGACACGGCCCAGACUCCUACGGGAGGCAGCAGUGGGGAAUAUUGCACAAUGGACGAAAGCCUGACGCAGCAAUGCCGCGUGUAUGAAGAAGGGCUUCGGGUUGUAAAGUACUUUCAGCGGGGAGGCGUUACCCGAAGAAGAAGCCCCGGCUAACUCCGUGCCAGCAGCCGCGGUAAUAC